rnacentral:rRNA from 2 species
GACAGAGGGUGCAAACGUUGUUCGGAAUUACUGGGCGUAAAGAGCGUGUAGGCGGUUCGGAAAGUCGGGUGUGAAAGCCCUGGGCUCAACCCAGGAAGUGCACUCGAAACUCCCGAGCUAGAGUCCUGGAGAGGAAGGCGGAAUUCUCGGUGUAGAGGUGAAAUUCGUAGAUAUCGAGAGGAACAUCGGUGGCGAAGGCGGCCUUCUGGACAGCGACUGACGCUGAGACGCGAAAGCGUGGGGAGCAAACAGG